rnacentral:rRNA from 1 species
GAUGAACGCUGGCGGCGUGCCUAAUACAUGCAAGUCGAGCGAACGGACGAGAAGCUUGCUUCUCUGAUGUUAGCGGCGGACGGGUGAGUAACACGUGGAUAACCUACCUAUAAGACUGGGAUAACUUCGGGAAACCGGAGCUAAUACCGGAUAAUAUUUUGAACCGCAUGGUUCAAAAGUGAAAGACGGUCUUGCUGUCACUUAUAGAUGGAUCCGCGCUGCAUUAGCUAGUUGGUAAGGUAACGGCUUACCAAGGCAACGAUGCAUAGCCGACCUGAGAGGGUGAUCCGCCACGCUGGAACUGAGCCACGGUCCAGACUCCUGCGGGAGGCAGCAGUAGGGAAUCUUCCGCAAUGGGCGAAAGCCUGACGGAGCAACGCCGCGUGAGUGAUGAAGGUCUUCGGAUCGUAAAACUCUGUUAUUAGGGAAGAACAUAUGUGUAAGUAACUGUGCACAUCUUGACGGUACCUAAUCAGAAAGCCACGGCUAACUACGUG